UUUGUAGAGGAUGUUUCGGGUACCGCCCCGGUCUAAAUUUCUUGGAACAGAAUGUCAGAGAGGGUGAGAAUCCCGUCUUGGACCGGUGGUAGGGCCUAUGUGAAACUCCUUCGACGAGUCGAGUUGUUUGGGAAUGCAGCUCAAAAUGGGUGGUAAAUUUCAUCUAAAGCUAAAUAUUGGCCAGAGACCGAUAGCGCACAAGUAGAGUGAUCGAAAGAUGAAAAGCACUUUGAAAAGAGAGUUAAACAGUAUGUGAAAUUGUUGAAAGGGAAGCGCUGGCAAUCAGACUUGCGCGCGGCGGUUCCCCCUGCCUUUUGGCUGGGUUAUUCC
rnacentral:rRNA from 1 species